AAGGGGAUUCAUUUAGGUAUUGAUAGAACUACUUUGAAAACAGUUCAGUGGUCUUAUUUUUGAGUGUUUUGUUUUGUUCCCCAAAAAUGUAGGAUUCUUUUUUUUUUUAAAUAUCAAGUGCUGUAAUUUAAAACUGUAAGUUGUUUUUGAAAUCGCCACAAAAUGUAUUGUGGUGGUUUUUUUGUUUGUUUUUUGCUGUAAUUAUCUGUAUAAUGUAAACCUAAUAAUUUUGUCAUGGUUUAAAAUUUUUGCCUAUUUGCUUUACCUUAUGCUGCUGAUUCAUUUUUAACUGAAUUUGUAAGCUUUGUUUUAUCAAAGCAACUAUUAUGUGGUGACUUGCCUAUAUCAUGAAUUAUUUAAGAUUUAUAGUGGGGUUUUUUUUUUAUUAGAAUUUAUUCCAGAUGUUUUGUUCAUGACAAUAUCCUUCAGGGUUAUGUGCUUGUCCUUAGUUUAUUCCCUGGGAAAGAGGUAAGAUACAUCUCUGUAGCCAGUUAUAUUCAGGUAUAACUACUGUAAAUGAUUGAGUUAAACCUCCAAUUCUUGCUAUUUGCCCAUCUUAAUUUAAUCAAAACAAUUAGUAGGAAACCCUGCGUAAUUCCUUGUCAAAGUCACUUCAUCUGAAUGGCAGAAUAAUGCAAAGCAUGUCUUUCUAAGAUGCCAUUUAUUCAGCUUGCCCCCAGAAGAAAAACAAAAAGAUAUGGUGUAUUCUGCAAAAUUAUGGCAUGCUAAAAGCUUAUGAUCACAUCAAGUCAAGAGGAUACUUCAUGAAUAAUACAUUUCAAUGCAAAUAAACAUAUGGUUUACUUCUACUAGUUAUUAGCCUGUUUUUGUACACACAAAAGCUAAUCUAUCUUUCCAGGACACAGAUCCCAGAAAUGUCUUGGAGUCCCUCUAAAUAUAUUUCAUUUUCAUGUAGCCUUGACUCCUGACCAUUUCCGAUUUCCUGUUACUUGGUAUCAGAGUCAGCUGAACAUCUAUUCUUGAUAGGGGAGGGAAGAGGGGAAACUUGUUUCCUGUCCAGUUGUUUCUCUUCAAGUAGAUGUAGCAUGUUCGUAUUAACUGCUAACUGUCGGGAUGUCCCAGAACCUACUUAGAAAUCUGUAGGGCAUGUAGAUUCAGCUGGUUGCCAGGCUUGGGACUACACUGGGACUCUGAAACCUGUCUGAUGCCACAAUGAAGUCACAGAACAAAAGCUUCCAAUGACAAUAUGGGCCAUAAAGUCUUACAGAAGUCAUCUAGGUUCUGCGUAUGGUUGGAUGGAUUUGGCUGCUUGGAGAUUUAAUUGGAUAUCUGGAGAAGUCAAGUUUGGAGAAACCAAUGCCUUGUGACCUUCCAGAAUUCUGGAACUCUGGCUAUUUCUAAGACCAUGGCGUGAAGUGAAUUAUCUUAAUAGCAGGAUGAACCAUCAUGGCCCCUCUGAGUCUGGAGCCACUAGACUGGGUAGCCCGGAGACAAAGGUCCAGAAAACUUUAGCUGGGUACUGUCACCCUUCUCUGGGGACAGUAGAAGAAUCAAGGAGAGGAUAUUGGGGAGGCAUUUUAUAAUUUUCUGUGGAAUUGGACUUAUGUUCCUCUAAAUCAUUGUUUUCAGAUUUAAGUUCUACAAGUAGAAAGACUUAGGGAUAUCAAAGAGCAGGAUCAUGAAAUUAUAGGGCAGCUGUGAUCCCUCUCCCUCCAGUAAAUGUUUGGAACAAAAUAACAUACAUAAAGGAUAGGUCUGAAAUGAGGCAUGGAUGGAAUUCCCGUUCAGUUUCACAGGGUCUUUACCUAAUUGAGAAAUCUUAGAAGGUAGGUCCUAUCUGCUAAAGGCUGUGCUCCUGAUGACCCAAUUAAGUAAGGUUGCUGAUGGAGCACUUUGUACUGAUUCUUACUAGUGCUCCUUGGGCAUUACUCUGUUCUAUCAGGACAAAAGUAGAAUAAGCAGUCAGAACAAGAAAUUCCAUCCCUCUCAAACCGUAAGCCUUUGGGAGAGAGUUGUUCGUGGAGAAGCUUGGGGAAGGAGUCCAGUAUUGAUCCUUGGAUUCCCUGCCAGCAUUUUCAUAAGAUCUCAUGUGGAUAUGGACACUUGGUCAGGCACUGUGUCUGAAACGAAAGGGGUCAGAAACUGUAGACUAGACCUCUAAGAUGCCUGGCAAAAAUCCAUGCUCUACAGCCGUUUGACAUCAAGGAGAAAGAGAGAUUCCUGAAUGGCUCAUGACUACCCAUUUAUUAACCGAAGUGUUUGACAGGACUUCAUAGUCUCCAUUACGUCUGACUUGGAGGGCUUCAGCCAAGGAAUCAAGUGAUAGGAGGAAGAGAAAUAAUCAAAAAGGCCAACCACCAGACACCUGGGCUCACAAGCACCAAAGCAACUGCCCCUGUCACAUCCUGGGGUUCCCCUACAGAAGAAAAGGGAGGCGUCAAUUAUUUACCACGCUGGGAUGGAACAAUGGAGAUCAGUAGCUGGCUAAGAAGAAUGAAGAAGCCAUGGCCGGCAAGCAAAACGAACUGCAGAUUCAACAUCGCCAUCUUUAAGAGCAAAGCACUGAGUACCAUGAGGAGGCCAAAUGUCUACCAUGGGAGGUUUCUCAUUACCAGGAAGAAGCAGAAUAAUAUGGUGGACAGCAAGACAGACUUGGAACUAGGACAAUCUGGAUUCAGGUCCCACCUCUGACACAUACUAGCUGUGUCUGACCCUGUUCUUGCCUAGGGAAAGUCUGGGUCUUCAUGGAAUCAGCAGCUCUGAAGAGAAGCUUGGGAGUAGGGAGCUACACUGAGCUUUCCCCAGGAGUGAAGGAGAUAGGCAUGCUUUGAACUGGGCUCCUACUCCAAUGAACUGAUGCAGAAUGCAGGAAGCAAAGCCAGAAGAACCGCAAAGAUGAUGGUCCCAAUAGUUGUAAAUGAAAACACCACUCUGGACUCAGAAUUGUUCAGUCAUUUUCAUUUGUGUCCAACUCUUCAUGACCCCAUUUGGGGGUCAGAAGAAAGCCCACCAAUCGUGACCCUGGAGAACACAUGAUGGAACACAUUUCUCUCCUCUGCGUGGAGAUGGGGGACCACAGGUAGUGAACUGUUCAUAUAUUCUGCUAGAUUCAGUGGAUUUUGCUUAACUGCAUUCUUUGCUAAAAGGGAGGAUUCUGGGUAUAUAUGUGUACGGGAGAGGUUAGGGUAUAUAUAGAAAUGACUGUAGUGUGAAAAAGGAGGAAUCCAUUAAACUUUAAAAGAAUCACAGAAGCCCAACAGCAAUGACUCUUAAAAAAAAGAAGACUGCAUUUCUAGGAAGCUUGCAAAGUAGAGGGAAGAAUGUUAUGGAAGAACCCCAGUGCUACUCGAAGAAUAUUUUUAUCAGAGUGCAAUUAUUUGACAAAUAUGAAUUUCUUCUGCCUCCCUUUCAACUUCCCCACCCCAACUCCAGUUGAAGGACACUUUUAAUCCAGCCAGGUGCACAAUGCUCCUAAGACAUUCAUCUUUCUGAAGAAAAUAGUAAGACUUUGUCCCUGAAAAUCAGGAGGUAAUCAUGUUUGUUGUCUGAAUGUAUUGGGGCUGAAAGGACCCCUGUACUCUUUCAAAAAACAAAAGUCAGAUGCAAGGCUGAGGACUUAUUUGUACAUUUGAAUUUUGAAAACUUAGAUGUCUCCUGCUUCCUUCCACAUCUCCAAAUAGCCUAGGGUCACUGAUCUUGGCAACAAAGGGAAAAAAUAGAAAACAAAGAACCAUUGUCUCACAUUCAGUAAACAGUAAGGGCUUGCUAAAUGUCUGUAGUUGUACUGGGCCCGAGAAACACCCCUGCUGGACUCAUUCCUUUCUGUUAUGAAGCAUGGAGUAACCUUUAUUUGGGUAGGUUUGAAAGGAAGGAAGUCACAAAACUAAUGGGGCUGAGUGGUCGAUUAAUUCAUCCUGUCUUCAGGAGAGAUGGUCUCUCUUCUUGUUGGUCUGCUUUCUUCAUUUGUUGUCAGUUUACAGACUGGGAGCCCAACCUGGAGCUUCCUGUCUUCCUCAUUUCUAAGGAAAGCUUAUAGUAGCUUCCCAUCUUGGGCUCUCUCUUCAGAGUCCUGACUUCUCAAGGACCCACCAUUUUCCCUAGCUGCCAGAAAACCAACUUAGAAAAACCAACUUGUUAUCCACAGCCCUGUCACAAAGCCCCUCAGGAAAAAGCUCUCCAUCCCUGCUGCCUCCACUUCUCUCCCCUCACCUACUUCUCUAUCUUUUGCGAAUCUGUCCCUCCACCUUAGAUGAAACUGCCAUCUUUAAAGUUACUAAGGAUUUCUUAAUUGCCAUAGCUGAUGGCCUUCUCUUAAUCCCCAUUCUUCCCAACCUAUCUGUUGCAUUUGUCAUGAUUAGUCAUCUUUUCUCUCCUGGAUACUUUCUCCUCUGGGUUUUGUGGCAAUGUUCUCUCUUGGUUUUUCUCCUACUUGUAAGACCACUCCUUCUCAGUCUCCUCUGCUGGUUCAUCAAGGCUAACCUGGGUACUACUUUAUUCUUUCUCUACAAUCUCUCACUUAGUCAUUUACUUCAUCCCUUUCCAUGGGUUUAAUUAUUAUCCUUAUGUAGAUGACUUUCAAAUCUAUGUCUUCUAAUCCUGCAAUGUAAGAGUUGGAAAGGGACCAUGAAGUCCUACCCAUACACAAAAUGAAUCCUUAUUAUAGCAUACCCCAGCUAGUGAUCAUCCAGUCUCUAAGGAAGACAAAUCCACUAUUUCUUGUGGUACCCUAUUCAAUUUUUGGACAGUUCUUAUGGUCAGGAAGUUCUGCCUUCUAUCUAGCUUAAAUCCACCUCUCUGAAAGUCCUGGCUCUGCCCUCUGGAGCCACAUAAAACAAGUAUAUUCCCUCCCUCCAUACACUAGCCCCUUUAAGUAUUUAAAUUAGCAAUCAUAUCUUCCCCCUCCCCAACUGUGCACCAUGAGUCUUCUCUUCUUCGGGAUAAACAUGCCCAAUUCCUUUGACUAAUCCAGCCCUAGCCUCUCUCUUAAGCUCUAGCUGUGCAACUCCACCUGCUUUUUGAUUAUUUUAUUUACUUAUUUUUGUUAUUUUAAAUAGCAUGACCCAUGGGCAUUUCAAGCUCUUCAUGUUCAAAACUCAUGAACUCUCUCCAAAUCCACCUCACUUCUGAACUUACUUUUAUUUGUCCAGGGAACCACCUGACAGUUGCUAUCAUUCACAACCUUGGAUAUACCCUUGAUGGUUCCCUCUCCUUCACCCACCUAUCCAAUCAAUUUCUAAAUCUUACCUUUUCUAUUUCCACAAGCUUUCUUGCAACCAUUAUUCCCUCUAAUCACACGGCCAGUACCCUAUUUCAAGCCCUCAUCACCUCUUGCCUGGUUUACUGCAAUAACCCAAUUAGUCGCCAUGCUUCACAUUUCCCCCCUCUCCAAUCUGCUUUCCACACAGCUAGAAAUGUAAUUUUCCUAAAGUAUAACACCACUUCCCUACUCCAUAAGCUCCAAUGGCUUCCUGUGGCCUCUAGGAUCUUAUAAGGUUCUCUAAUUAACUAUUAAAACCCUUUGCAACCUAGCCCCAAACUACCUUCCCGAUCUCAUUAUGAAACACUCUUUCUACAUUCUCUAGUCCAGUCAAACUGACCUUACUGGUCCUUGUACAUGAUGUUCCAUCAUCUCUCACCUCUGAACCUUUGUACUGUCUGUCCCCCAAGCCUGAAGUGCCUUCACUUUUACCACUUAGGAGCUUUUGUUUCCUUCAAAACUCCAAUUAUGAUACUGCAUGAAACCUUCCCUGGACAAUGACACAUGCGUAGAGCUGCCACCACCAUGACAACAAAGCAAAACCAAAAACCAAUCCUUGUCUUUAUACUUUGAAUAGACUUAUUUAUAUAAAUGUUGUCUUGUCUAACAAACUCUAAGAUCCCUGAGGACAGACACCAUCUCAUUUUUAUCUCUGU